rnacentral:lncRNA from 1 species
GCCGCGCGCACGCGCGCGCCGAAGCCGGCCCGGCAAGGUGCCAGGGUCCCUCUCUGUUUGGGCUCCUCUCCAACUCCUGGGACUAUGUCUCAGGCCUACGCUGCCGGAGCCAAGAGCGCAGGGCGGUGGACGGGGCAAGUCCCUUUUUGGAUCCCUUCCCUUCGUCCCUCUGUCUCCUUCUACGAACAGCCCUAUGCGUCAGACUCCUGCGCCCCCGCUACCUUCUUUGCUGCAUGGAUGGAUGGCCCAAGAAUAUAAUGGCCCAGGAGAAGAUGCGCUAAGAGGCUGCGGACACUGGUUUGAAGAAGCAGCCACAGAAGGGAGCCCAGUGGAGGCACGUUCUUGUCGGAAUUGAAGAAAAGAGGGAUCGAUUGGAGGAAAUGGCUAGAUGAAGCUCAUAGCUCCACAGUUCUAGUCACUCAGAUGGCGAGGGUGUCAUGGCAGCGCGGGGCCUGACACAGGAUUGAACAGCUAUAAGUUAUUGCUCUGGGUUUUAUUUUGAGACAAGGUCACAUGUAGUCAAGCCAUCCUGACCUCAAAGUUUCAAUGUAGCCAACCUUAGAGUUAUCCUGUCUCUGCCUCCCCAGUCCUGGGAUUGCAGGUAGGAGCCGCCACACCUAGAGGAUACAACACUGAGUAUUGAAUCCAGGGUCUUCUGCGUGCUUGGCAAAGACUCCCCAAAUUGAGCUGCAUCCCUGACCCUGUUUUUGUUGUUUUGUUGAGUCAGGAUCUUGCAUUGGUGGGCCAGGGUGGCCUCCAACUUUGGUACGUUUUCCUGCUUCUGUUUCAAAUGCUGGGAUUAUAACAUGCGGCACAACUCUUAAUUAGCUCUUGGUUUGGUUUGGUUUUUAUAUGGAGCAU